AAAAAAAAAAAAAAAAAAAAAAAGGAAGAAGAAGAAGAAGAAGGAAGAGACCUAUUUACAUCUGUCCAAGAUUCUUCUUACAGGGACUCUAACAACUCUAAUAAAGUCUCAGUUUCAUCUACGCAAAAUUCUUUACACCAAAAAUAAAAGGACAAAAUACAGUUGAGCUUCUUUUUAGUAAAGAACUCAUAUCUUGAAAACACCUAUCAUUUCUUUCCUUCCAGACGUUCCACCAAAUGCAUGUUUGGUAUACCCUUCCACAAUCUCUUCUUCCUUCCCCAGCCACCUACAUUGUUCCAGCACCUCAAAAGAUCACAAGUAGUCCUAGGCAUUACCCAAGUUUUAUUCACCAAUGCAAGGAAUAACUGCCACAUACUUGUUUUUUAUCUUGACAUACCAAGUUGCAUAGAGUGACUUCUUUGAGAGUUCACUAGUUUGAUUUCUUAGUAGUUGUGCAAAUUGGCUCCAGUAUGAGCACGACAUUCAGUCUUGAGUCCACAUGUCACCAAGGUUCUAUAUCUAGCUCUUCAGCUUGCUUUCUAGAUGCAUAAACACUAACAACAACAACAACAACAACAUACAUACCCGGUGCGUAGAUGUAAUAAAAGAGGUAAUUGCAACACAUAUGAAAAGAGGCUAUCAUGUAAGUAAAAUAAGGCCCAAGUCAAAUCCCCUCCCCCCCCCCCCCCCCCCCCC
rnacentral:lncRNA from 1 species